AAUCCAUAGGUUAAUGAGGCGAACCGGGGGAACUGAAACAUCUAAGUACCCCGAGGAAAAGAAAUCAACCGAGAUUCCCCCAGUAGCGGCGAGCGAACGGGGAGGAGCCCAGAGCCUGAAUCAGCAUGUGUGUUAGUGGAAGCGUCUGGAAAGGCGCGCGAUACAGGGUGACAGCCCCGUACACAAAAGCGCAUGUGCUGUGAGCUCGAUGAGUAGGGCGGGACACGUGGUAUCCUGUCUGAAUAUGGGGGGACCAUCCUCCAAGGCUAAAUACUCCUGACUGACCGAUAGUGAACCAGUACCGUGAGGGAAAGGCGAAAAGAACCCCGGCGAGGGGAGUGAAAAAGAACCUGAAACCGUGUACGUACAAGCAGUGGGAGCACCCUUUGGGUGUGACUGCGUACCUUUUGUAUAAUGGGUCAGCGACUUAUAUUCUGUAGCAAGGUUAACCGAAUAGGGGAGCCGGAGGGAAACCGAGUCUUAAUUGGGCGUUAAGUUGCAGGGUAUAGACCCGAAACCCGGUGAUCUAGCCAUGGGCAGGUUGAAGGGUGGGUAACACUAACUGGAGGACCGAACCGACUAAUGUUGAAAAAUUAGCGGAUGACCUGUGGCUGGGGGUG
rnacentral:rRNA from 1 species